rnacentral:tmRNA from 1 species
GGGGGUGAUCUGGUUUCGACGAUGAUUACAAAGCUCUAGGUGCAUGCCGAGUAUCGCAGUUGCCUCGUAAAAUACAUUGCGUUUUAAAUAUAGUUGCAAAACCUGCACCUUUCGCUCUAGCAGCCUAAACAGCUUCUGAGCCCAUUUCGCUUGGCCGUGCUUGUGAGGACAGGUAGAAAUGGUUAUUUUUCACAAGACCGCCCAUUGGCUUUUCCUGGUGCUAGUGAGCUAAAUUUUAACAGGAAUCGUCAAUCAAAAGCAGGCUGGCUUGCGGUUGGUUGGUUAAAUAAAUAGUCAGAUAAGCAUGUAGUACCGACAGUGGCGAGUUAGCGGACGCGGGUUCAAUUCCCGCCACCUCCAGAU